UAUUUCUGUCUGUCCUUACAUGAUUAUUUUUCAACCAGUCAAGUUUUUGAAUUCCACCUCAGCAUAUCAAACAAUGGCAGCAGAGUCCAUGCAUUGCAGGGGUAGAAUAAGAAAAAGUUUGAAGCAAGUAGUAUGAACAAACAUUGAGAAUUCUAGGAAGAAUAUUGCAAAUCUUGAUAGUCUUUAAGAGGAUCAUACAACAAGCAGAGUACUGCAGAGUAGAACAGAACAAGAGAACACAGAUGAGGAGGAGGCGGAGCUUAGUAUUUACUGUGUCAUCUGGUUCGCCGAGAACCAUCAGACAUUUUCAAAUAUGUUUAAGAAAGGUAUGAUCAAAUAUUUGAUUUGUUAGUUAGAAAUCUUUCUUUAUUCUGGAUACUCAGUAUUUUUACACUGUUCUUCCCUGAGGUCCCGGGUAUUAUUUGUUUGUUGAUAAGAACUAAUCAUAGGGUCAAUCUUGAGUGAUCAUUAUAUACAGUUCUCUGUAAUACAUGAUUACACACUACUGUGUACUGGAUAACAGUAGAACUGUACUACAAAGCACAGACCCUAUAUACAAUAUAUAGGGUCAGUGUACAAAGUAAGCCACAAAAAUGAAUAGCAAUUAUUAUACUAUAGAGACAUCUAUACAGAUUUAGAUGAUUUAUUGUCAAAGUA